AGGCACCAAUCCUGAAAAAUAGUUUUGUGAGGUGCCGUCUGCAUUCUGAAGAUUCUGAAGCCCAGGGCGCUCACAGGGAGCCAGAUGCUAUGUGACCGCUGGCUCCCACUCCUGCUGCCGUGCAUUAUCCACUGUGAUGGACUACAUCAUCAAAACCUGAGUCAAAAUACAUCCUUUCCCUGUUAUGUUGUUUUGUCGGGUAUUUUGUU
rnacentral:lncRNA from 1 species